rnacentral:rRNA from 1 species
GCAAGUCUGGUGCCAGCAGCCGCGGUAAUUCCAGCUCCAAUAGCGUAUAUUAGAGUUGUUGCAGUUAGAAAGCUCGUAGUUGAACCUUGGGCCUGGCUGGCCGGUCCGCCUCACCGCGUGCACUGGUCCGGCCGGGCCUUUCCUUCUGGGGAGCCUCAUGCCCUUCACUGGGUGUGUUGGGGAACCAGGACUUUUACUUUGAAAAAAUUAGAGUGUUCAAAGCAGGCCUAUGCUCGAAUACAUUAGCGUGGAAUAAUAGAAUAGGACGUGUGGUUCUAUUUUGUUGGUUUCUAGGACCGCCGUAAUGAUUAAUAGGGAUAGUCGGGGGCAUCAGUAUUCAAUUGUCAGAGGUGAAAUUCUUGGAUUUAUUGAAGACUAACUACUGCGAAAGCAUUUGCCAAGGAUGUUUUCAUUAAUCAGUGAACGAAAGUUAGGGGAUCGAAGGCGAUUAU